rnacentral:misc_RNA from 1 species
GAUGAAGAACGCAGCGAAAUGCGAUAAGUAAUGUGAAUUGCAGAAUUCAGUGAAUCAUCGAAUCUUUGAACGCACAUUGCGCCCGCCAGUAUUCUGGCGGGCAUGCCUGUCCGAGCGUCAUUUCAACCAUCAAGCCCCCGGGCUUGUGUUGGGGACCUGCGGCUGCCCGCAGGCCCUGAAAACCAGUGGCGGGCUCGCUGUCACACCGAGCGUAGUAGCAAUCACCUCGCUCAGGGCGUGCUGCGGGUUCCGGCCGUUAAACAGCCUUACAAAACCCAAGGUUGACCUCGGAUCAGGUAGGAAGACCCGCUGAACUUAAGCAUAUCAAUAAGCGGAGA